CUGGCGCGGUUUCUUCGCCGCUUUCUGCGGUGCUGUUAUGUUUCGUCUGCUCGCUGUUUUCUACUACGGCCAAAACACUUUUACUGCUUUGUUCAAAACGGAAUUCAAACACGAUUUUCCAUUCGACCUGAGGGAGAUGUUUGCUUACAUGUUUCUUGGACUUGUCUGCGGACUUCUAGGGGCGCUGUUUGUAUUCGUCCACCGAAAUUACGUGCU